UACGAAGGGUGCAAGCGUUAAUCGGAAUUACUGGGCGUAAAGCGUGCGUAGGUGGUCUUUUAAGUCCGUUGUGAAAGCCCUGGGCUCAACCUGGGAAUGCCAGUGGGUACUGGAAGGCUGGAGUACGGUAGAGGAGGGUGGAAUUCCCGGUGUAGCGGUGAAAUGCGUAGAGAUCGGGAGGAACAUCAGUGGCGAAGGCGGCCCUCUGGACCAGUACUGACGCUGAGGCACGAAAGCGUGGGGAGCAAACAGG
rnacentral:rRNA from 1 species